rnacentral:rRNA from 1 species
UGCAGUCGACGGCAGCACGGACUUCGGUCUGGUGGCGAGUGGCGAACGGGUGAGUAAUGUAUCGGAACGUGCCCAGUAGCGGGGGAUAACUACGCGAAAGCGUAGCUAAUACCGCAUACGCCCUACGGGGGAAAGCAGGGGAUCGCAAGACCUUGCACUAUUGGAGCGGCCGAUAUCGGAUUAGCUAGUUGGUGGGGUAACGGCUCACCAAGGCAACAAUCCGUAGCUGGUUUGAGAGGACGACCAGCCACACUGGGACUGAGACACGGCCCAGACUCCUACGGGAGGCAGCAGUGGGGAAUUUUGGACAAUGGGGGAAACCCUGAUCCAGCCAUCCCGCGUGUGCGAUGAAGGCCUUCGGGUUGUAAAGCACUUUUGGCAGGAAAGAAACGUCAUGGGUUAAUACCCCGUGAAACUGACGGAACCUGCAGAAUAAGCACCGGCUAACUACGUGCCAGCAGC